rnacentral:lncRNA from 1 species
GAACGUGAUCUUUUAGUUGGUUAAAAGUCAGUCAGCUAUGGCACAAUAUCAUCAUAUAUUACAUUAAAACUUUGUUAUUGAUAUCUAAACCAAGCAUCAUCUGACAAGCAACUAGAAGAAUGAUAUCAUGAGAUACAGCACAUAUGAUUUCUUUACUUCCACGAGUCACGAGUUAAACUAAGCUCUCCAAACCUAAAUUUAAUAAUAUAACAGAAAAUAUUAAUAAAUCGUCGUAAGUUUGCUGUUUAUGAUUUAUGGUGUCAUGCAAGCGUAAAUCUGACUUAACUUGUGGAAAUGAUUAUUUCCAUCUGGCUCAUUGGGUGGGAUGUUAACUAUGCUGGAUGCCAUUGAGAUAGAUGAUGCCCUCCUAGCAAACUGUGCGAGAUCACUGGAGACAGUGGUUUCGAUCCGUUGGGAUGAAGUUAGGCGUGUCCAAGAAACAAACCAAGAUUGGGUUGCCAAACUUAGAAAAAUGUGUACGUUGAAAGAUAGAGAUAGCUAUAUUUCCAUAUUCAUGCUGCUGGACUAGGAUUUCAGCGUACUCGACGGGUAGGAACUGGUUGAUCUGAAAUUGAUUCAUCUUAACACGAGUUGCUUAUUUUUGUGACAACAUAGUCGCAGCAGCCACCCAGAAUGAUGCUGAAGCUCUGGAGAAAGUACCAG